rnacentral:lncRNA from 1 species
GCAGUUUUGAAAGUCUCUGCAAUAUAAGAAUUUCGAUAAGCUCAAAAAUAGUGGUAGAAAUAACUAAAGGUUUUCUCUCGAAGUUUGUUAAGGAAUUUUAAUCUAGCUGUGUUCACAUUCAAAGGCCUUCUAUGUCUGUGUGAUCUAGCUGAAAUGUAGGUAUUCCCUUAGCACACACCUGAGUCCCUUUGGCCAGAAUCCUUUAGUACACAACUUUAAUCACAAAAAAAAAAAAAAAAAAAAAAAAAAAAAAAAGUUACGGACAAACUGAUGUAUCAGAAAAAGAUUUGCCAGGAAGAGUUGAGAUAGGACAUGCCCAGCUCUUAGGAGAAGAGCUAUUUAAGAACAGUGCAGGGAGAUUGGGUCAGUUCAUUAGUCAGUUCAGUUGAGUCAAUACAGAGUUCAGUCAGUUGGAGUCAGUUCAGCAGUGAGUUGGGAUCAGUGCAGUGUGUGCAGUGCAGUGGAGUUGAGUGAGUGGAGUCGUGAGGUCAUGCUGUCCAGUGCAGGUCAGCAGAGGCAGUUGAAGCCAGAGAAUAAGAAGGAGCCAGAAGAUUAGAGCAAAUUCAUCUGAGUCCUUCUGAGGUCAUGCAGAGCAUUUCAUUGAGAAGCUGAGUGAAGCCAGAUUGAAUCAGUCAGCUUAACAGGGAGUUUGAGUCAGAACACCUGAGGUAAACCAGCCAGCCAGAUUUCAGAAAGAACUAGAAAUGGUGAGCUUAUUCACCAGAAAGCCUCCAAGAUGACAAUUGUACCAGGUGAAUAAAAUUUAUUUCUAUGGCAGAUUUUUUUUAAAUAAUGGGAAUGGUAUAUAGAUUUAUUGGAUGAAUUCUAACUCUAGCUACAUUUAAAAGUAUAGUUUUCCCUUAUUCCCAAAUACAG